rnacentral:rRNA from 1 species
GAUGAACGCUGGCGGCGUGCCUAAUACAUGCAAGUCGAGCGAACGGACGAGAAGCUUGCUUCUCUGAUGUUAGCGGCGGACGGGUGAGUAACACGUGGAUAACCUACCUAUAAGACUGGGAUAACUUCGGGAAACCGUAGCUAAUACCGGAUAAUAUUUUGCACCGCAUGGUUCAAAAGUGAAAGACGGUCUUGCUGUCACUUAUAGAUGGAUCCGCGCUGCAUUAGCUAGUUGGUAAGUUAACGGCUUACCAAGGCAACGAUGCAUAGCCGACCUGAGAGGGUGAUCGGCCACACUGGAACUGAGACACGGUCCAGACUCCUACGGGAGGCAGCAGUAGGGAAUCUUCCGCAAUGGGCGAAAACCUGACGGAGCAACGCCGCGUGAGUUAUGAAGGUCUUCGGAUCGUAAAACUCUGUUAUUAGGGAAGAACAUAUGUGUAAGUAACUGUGCACAUCUUGACGGUACCUAAUCAGAAAGCCACGGCUAACUACGUG